rnacentral:rRNA from 1 species
AUUGAACGCUGGCGGCAGGCCUAACACAUGCAAGUCGAGCGGAUGAAGGGAGCUUGCUCCUGGAUUCAGCGGCGGACGGGUGAGUAAUGCCUAGGAAUCUGCCUGGUAGUGGGGGAUAACGUCCGGAAACGGGCGCUAAUACCGCAUACGUCCUGAGGGAGAAAGUGGGGGAUCUUCGGACCUCACGCUAUCAGAUGAGCCUAGGUCGGAUUAGCUAGUUGGUGGGGUAAAGGCCUACCAAGGCGACGAUCCGUAACUGGUCUGAGAGGAUGAUCAGUCACACUGGAACUGAGACACGGUCCAGACUCCUACGGGAGGCAGAAGUGGGGAAUAUUGGACAAUGGGCGAAAGACUGAUCCAGCCAUGCCGCGUGUGUGAAGAAGGUCUUCGGAUUGUAAAGCACUUUAAGUUGGGAGGAAGGGCAGUAAGUUAAUACCUUGCUGUUUUGACGUUACCAACAGAAUAAGCACCGGCUAACUUCGUG